UCUUCAGUUGUGUUCAACUUUAAACAAAGUUUAUAGUUUCUCAAACAACAACAUUUUCAUUAUUACCUAUAUAAUGCAUUGUGUUUACUUUCUCUUAUUCAUCAUACUUGUGAUACCCAUUCUUGGGCAAGAGACACAAUCAGAAACUUUUGAAAAGCUUAAUGGAACAAACGCAACUUCAACAGCGAAUUCAACAGAUGACGUCGAUAAAGAAAUUCAGUUUGAAGAAGCACAAACGAACAAAACCAGUGACGACGAAAUCAUGGAAACUGCUGACAUGAUGGUCUUCAGACCCUUGUUUGCUUAUAGACAACAACAAAGUCGAAGACAAAGGAUAUACGCUUCUAGAAGAAACUGGCAGAAUUAAAUUAGCGUUAUUUAUUGUAAAAAUUUUCCUAACUUUGACUGAUUAAUUUACAGAAUUUAAUAAACACGUUAUCGUUUAAUCACACUGCGUAAUUACUCUUCAAAAAUAAUACAUUCAAUAUAUUCAUCAAUGUCCAAUUAUUUUCUUUAGUUUAUGUUUGCGUUUAAUAGUGUCAAGUUCAAGAACCACAACAUGACAAAAUUAGUAACUCACAUUUGUCUUAUCUGUACUUUGGUCAUGCUUUUCCUGCUGCCAGUUCUCGCACAACAAACAGAAAGUAAAAAUAAAAAUUUAGAAUCACCUACUGAAAACAAAAAUGACGAGGUUAUGGAAACUGCAGACACUAUGGUUUUCAGACCUGUAUUUUCAUACAGGAAAACCCAUAGUCACAGAGAACGGGUGUAUGGACCUCGACCAUCUAAUUAUAACAGCAAUGAUCGCAGCUAUGACAGAUUUCCUACAGUUGCGUAAAGAAGAAAUAUAUCAUUAAGAAAAAAAUGUUUAGUUUUGGUUCAGCAAAGUCAAUAACUUUUUAUAUUCUUGUUGUUUAUAUUUAAGCGUCAGCAGUUAUAAUAAGUAUGUCGAAAUCUUUGUGUAACUUUAUUGUCCUAGUGCCCCAUGUGAUGAUAAACAUUUAGUUGAAGAUCAUGGCCACGACCUGGAGAUCAGCAACCAGAAGUCAUGAAUUAUCAUUUUUAUCCAAGUAUGUUUUUCUCAAAUUUGUAUAUUAUUUCGUGUACUACCAAAAUGAAGAAAAUUUGCUUCACGAUGAAGGCUCAACAAAGUACAAGCACCUCUUACGUGUUAAUUGUAACUGUACAACAUGUCAGUGUCAUGAAUCUGCCAAUAAAUUAAAUAAACUAGAACAAGAA